UACGUAGGGCGCAAGCGUUGUCCGGAAUUAUUGGGCGUAAAGAGCUCGUAGGCGGUCUGUUACGUCCGCUGUGAAAACCCAGGGCUUAACCCUGGGCUUGCAGUGGAUACGGGUAGACUAGAGGCAGGUAGGGGAGAAUGGAAUUCCCGGUGUAGCGGUGAAAUGCGCAGAUAUCAGGAGGAACACCGGUGGCGAAGGCGGCUUGCUGGGCCUUACCUGACGCUGAGGAGCGAAAGCGUGGGGAGCGAACAGG
rnacentral:rRNA from 1 species